UAUCUACCUAUGAUUUGUUGACUAUUAUAGUCAUAUUAUUCAUUAUUUCGUAUUAUUCUCUGCUCAAAGACAGUGACUCCACAGUAACUGUCAGAUAACAUUCACAAACUGCUUAUGCGGGCAUAUAAGGCCUUCUAGAUCCAAGCUCUAACGUAUAUAGCCCAAUCUUAUCUUUGUCUAGUUAGUAUUAUGAGAUCUGUGCCUCACAAUGAUUUGUUCCUGAACAAGCUAGUGAUAUUAAUUUCCCACACUGUUUACGGUUUUCCCAAAUCACCACUCACUCCAGGCUGGUUAGAAUGUUCACUGUCUUCUUCAGUGUAAAUCCUACCAAUCAUUCAUCUAUAUGUCAGAACCAUCUUUGGAGUUAGUUUAAAAGAAUCUCAAACCUUUUAAGAAUCAAAAGGAGUGGAUCCAAGAUCUUGGGAUCAGAGCUUAAACUCUUAAUGUUUUAUUCUUCUCACUUGCUAAUCCCCUGUUGCCUUUGAAGAAGCAAGUUGCCAUGUUGUUUGCUGCCAUAUAGAGAGGGCUACAUGGCAAGGAACGGCGGUCAGCCUCCACUUGAUAUCCAACGAGAAACUGAGGGCCUCAGUCUGGACACCUGCAGGAACUGAGUGCUGUCAACAACAGCAUCCUGGCCUUGGAUGACACCUUGAUUGCAGUCUUGCAGAGGAUCCAGCUAAACCAUGCCUAGACUUCAGACUUACAGAAACUGUGAGAUAAACUGUGAAAUAGUUUUAAGCCACUAAAUUUGUGGUAAUAUCAUUACACAGCAAUAGAAAACUAAUACAGAUAUGUGUUGAUUCUGCUAGAUGAAAAGUCUGUCUAUUUUAAUUACGUGUUCCAGAACUGGAAAAGUAAGUAAAAGGUAAAUCUGGGGACACACUGAGCCCACAAUGAGAUGGACUUGAGCUAGAAAUGGACUUGAUUUCCUGACGUCCAUAAAUCCCUACUCUGAAUGUUGGAGCAUAGCAAUGUUCUGCUUUUCCAAAAAUUUGUUUCAGUUGGGAGCCAGAGUUCAGUAAUGCCCAAAAAUAUGAUGCACAAUGAUCUUAGUAAAUGUCCACAGGUGCCUCUGAGAAAGGCUAUGAGAAAGAUUAACAGUAUAAUUUUGGGCAUUAUAGCAGAGUUCUUCCUCAAGGGACCAAGCUUAUAUUUUAUUUAGUGGGAUACCAGUAUGUAAACUGACUCAAGUCUGGGGAUUGGUUAAGUAAGGAACUGUGAAUCCCUGUUUUAGGGAUUCAAGUCAGACUUCUGUUCACUAGACCUAGAACUUGUCUGUCUAUACAGAUCAAAUAAGAGAUUAGUAGUCUGUCCAUCUACUUUAUAUCUGGAAACGCCAUGGUCAACCAGCCAAUGCCAUAGGUCUCUGUGAGUCAGACUUCUAACCAUUGUUUUGAUUCUGCUGUUCAUUAUGAUAACCAGGCUCUCGUGGGAACCUUGUCUUGUCUUUGAAGAUUUAAGUUCCUUCACUUAGCCUUUGCCACUCCAUAGUCCCAUCAUCCCCUUUAAGUUAACUCAGUUUGACAGUAUAAUUUUCCCUUGUAAUUUCUGACCUAGAUUGAAGGGGCCAUAAAGCUAUUCAAGAAUUCUGGGCUCCCAUCACAGCUGUGAUGAAAGAUGUGUCCUCGGGCCCCUGUCAGAUGGGAUGCCCACUAUUGGAAUUUACCUGCUAUCUUCUUAUGAUGAGACUGGGGAUAUGAGUUAUUGAGAGAACGACCACGGAGCUUUGGCCACUGGGAGCUCCUUCAGUUGGCUCUUUUGUCGCUUUGGCAUACUUCCGUCACUGCAGGCUGCCUCACGCGUCUUCUGGACAGCUUUGACACUUCGCUCAAGAAUGAAGGACAGCGAUUUUCCGUGAGCUUCACGUCUGGACCUUCCCGCCAAGAUGUGGUUCCUGCUCUCUAGAACGCGGCCUUUCCUCAGUAUUCAUCUCAUGUGAAAUGUGGAGAACCAUCUGGAUAAUCAGAGAAUUUGCUCUCGCCAGGCGGAAAGGGCAUGAGAGAUGAAAAUGAUACAGCACCAUGUAUUAGCACAGAUUUUGCCUUAGACUGUGGGACUUCUGUCUUCCAUGGAAACCCCAGCCAAUUAGCUGAAGCUAACGUGUACGCCUUCCACUGCCGAGAUAUUGUCAUUGAUCACUUCAGGAAGAUUAGCCCUCAGCUAACUACUGCCAGUCCUCCUCUUUCUGCUGAGGAAGCCUGGCCCUGAGCUAACAUCCGUGCCCAUCUUCCUCUAGUUUAUAUGUGGGAUGCCUACCACAGCAUGGCCAAGCAGCGCCAUGUUCACAGCCGGGAUCCGAACCAGCGUACCCCAGGCUGCCGAGAAGCGGAACGUGCGACCUUAACAGCUACGCCACCGGGGCAGCCCUGAAGCUUUAUUUCUGAAUGCGACAGAGGGAAGAAGAAAAAUUUCUGGAGUGGACAGAU
rnacentral:lncRNA from 1 species